rnacentral:ncRNA from 1 species
GGGUGUCCGGGCGCAGCCCGGGAGAAUUGGAAAGAUCGGUGAAAAUCCGACGCUGGCCCGCAACCGUGAGAGGGGACGAUCCCGCAAGAUGCCACUGUGAUUCGGAUCACGGGAAGGCGCGGGGGAGGAAGAACCUUGAGCCGGGAAGCCAGCCCGCCA